UUCAUCAUUCUCAGUCCUCUGACACAUGACACAAGUCUCAUGCUCCAUACAAGUCAAGAACCUCUUCAGCCUCGAAGCUUUCUCAAGUAUCGUCUUAUCCAGCUCUCUAACAAUCACUUUCUGCUGCGGUUGCCACACGCUGUACUCCACCAGGUAAGAGUGCGAUAUGUUGAGCACUUCAAGAUGAGGUAACCCGUCGAGGAUCUUUAUGAGCGCUUCUCGCUUGAUGGCAGAGCAUCUAAGGCUGAGUGUUUUGAGGUUAGGGAGGUAAGUGAUGAGCGUGUUGGCAAAGAAGAUCUCGAAGGGUCCCAUGAUCUUGAGCUCCUUGAAGUUCUUGCAGUUCUUGGCGAUCUCUGUUAAGAGGUAAGGCGGGUUUGCGAUGCUAGGCAUAGUUAGUGACUCGAGAUCUUUCC
rnacentral:lncRNA from 1 species